rnacentral:rRNA from 1 species
UAGCCUUGACAUUGAUUGAAUUUUCCAGAGAUGGAGAAGUGCCUUCGGGAACAUGAAAAC